rnacentral:lncRNA from 1 species
UCAUUCGUUUGGAUUGGGUAGGUGGGAGAGGAGGUCAGGUAGUUAGAAGCAUAGUUGAACUAAAUCAGACGCAACUUCUUAUGAGAGGAACUAGGAAGCUUCUGUAGAAGAUGAAAUGCGAAAAUAGAAUAAUAACAACAACAUAACCAGAAAGAUACACCAGCGAGCUAAGAACCAAAAAAGCUCCUAAUAGAAUAAUAACAACAACAUAACCAGAAAGAUACACCGGCGAGCUAAGAACCAAAAAAUAUACCUGGGAAAACAAUAUCAAUAAAGUGACAAGGUCUUAGAAAAU